rnacentral:rRNA from 1 species
GUCCACGCCCUAAACGAUGUCAACUGGUUGUUGGGGAAGGAAACUUACCUUAGUAACGAAGCUAACGCGUGAAGUUGACCGCCUGGGGAGUACGGCCGCAAGGUUAAAACUCAAAGGAAUUGACUGGGACCCGCACAAGCGGUGGAUGAUGUGGAUUAAUUCGAUGCAACGCGAAAAACCUUACCUACCCUUGACAUGCCAGGAAGCCCGAUGAGAGUUGGGUGUGCCCGAAAGGGAGCCUGGACACAGGUGCUGCAUGGCUGUCGU